GCGCUCAUUUUUCAUUCAAUUUUUUGUUUGUUUCAUUGUUUGACACUCUUCAUUAACAUUAAAUCAUUCAUCUUCAUCAUUUUAAUUAAUGACAAUUGGUUUAUACAUUUUUGACUGUUUUAAUGUUCAUCAUGAGACAAUUAAAUGAGCUAUUUAGUAUACAAAGGUGAAACCAGUUGGAUAUAAGUGUCUGAUCUGGACGUUGCUUUUGUUUUCAUGCUUAAAUACGCAGUAUGUGUCUCUCAUUGUUAAGCUGCGUCUUGCUUUUUGGUACAAUGUGUGUCCAUUGAUUGGUCCUGUCCAACUUGACUUAAACCUAAACCAGGCCAGUGUUUCACUUGAUAUUUUUUGGUGUCAUUUGGUGAAGUCAAAGGAAAACAAACAACGCUCUAUAAUAUGGAAAUGAAGAUGCUGAAAAGAUGUCAACUUGACCUUUAAGGUUAUAUGUAUUUCCUGAGAAGACAUUCAAAUAACAAGAUCGUUUCUUUGCUUCCUCAAAAUGUGUCGUCAAGAAACAAAAAAAGGAACCCAAGAUCUACUCCAAACCAAUGGACUUGCAGCAAACUUUAACCUUUAACAUUGGUCUCUAUUUUUUUGUUUUAGUUUAUUACCACAAAAUAAGCCUCAGAUAAGUGGAUAAAUAGGCCAGUUAAUGAUUGUUGGUUUAUAUUCAUUUGGACAGUCACAGUUAGUUUGUACGUAAGGAAAUGAUUGAUUGAAAUGUGCCAUAAAUAUUGUACAGAGAUAUUACAUUGAUCGUCAAUUCACAGAGUUUCAAUGUAACUAUAAAAAGGUAAUGAAAGUGAUUGAAUGAAAAGUUUCUCACAUUAAAACUGUUGUAACUAUUAGCUGUUAGUAUUAAUUGUAAGUGUUUCUGAUAACCUUUAAUAGUAUCUAAAUAGUCUGCUAUUAUUGAGGUAAUUGUCUUUAAUUAAAAAGAUGAGAAUGUUAAAGGAAAGAUAGCUUUGAUAAUUGUAAAGCUAACAUGAUAUAAUUGAAAUGAUGGCUCAUGAUGAUAUCAAGGUAUGAGAUUCACUGAUUUUUACUUGUUUGGUUAAUGUAAAGUUUCAACUUCUGGGAACAUCUGAUUACAACCAUUAGUGAAAGAGACGAUGAAAA